ensembl:lncRNA
AUGAUGAAAGUGUUGGAUUCAGAGAACCUUGGGGCAAGUCCAAGUCUGUCCCUCACUAUCUGUGUGACUUUGGACCCCCAGGUGACCUUGCUGAGUCUCAGGAUCCUCCCUCCAAAGCCAACGGAUCGAAUAGAUGAUCUCUCCCUAAAGGCUCUGCCAAUUCUCAUUCAGAGCUCCCUUUUACAGAGCACUGUAAGAAUAAAAGAACUUUCAUCAGGAUCAUCCUGGGAAAUGGUAGAGCAGAGAAGCAGGAAGGAAACCCUGCAGCUUCCAAAGGGAGAAUGAGUAAACUCAGGGAUUGGAAAUGCAAGGCUCUGCAGGAUAUGUUUGGAAUUAUAAAAGUAACAACACUGAGCAGAGAAGUUAGAAACCCAUGGGAAUCAAAAGAAGAAUUGUACCUAUAGUCAACAUUAAGGAAGAUUGUUCCAAAUGACUAAGAACAGAGAAAUGCCAAUCAAAACAACUCCAAGGUUUCACCCACUCCUGAAGUCAAUUGGCAAAGAUGACAAAAAUGGGAAUACUGGGUGUUUGAAAGACCAUGGAAAGACAAGCACAUGAAUGACCUGUUGCUGGAGGUACAGCUGGGCCUAACAGUUCUAGAAAGUCCUUUGUGAUUAUGCUGGACAGUGACUAUGAUAUAUAAAACCUUUGACCAGAAGUCCUGCUACUAGUCUCAUACCCCAACCAGAUCAAUGAUAUCAAAGAAAGACUCCUUCUGUACCAAAAUAUUUGUAACAAUAGUUUUGGGAAUGCAAAAAACUGGAAACAAAAGAGAUACAUGCCCAUUGGAUGAGGAAUGGUGAAACAAAUUGGAAAAUAUGGAAGCCGUGGAGUAUUCAUGUGUGCUAAGAUAAGAUGACUGCAGAGAAGUGAGGCAAGACUUGCAUAAACUGAUGAAAAGUGAAAUAGGACAAAGCUAGAAAAUAAUAGACACAAGGGUCACAACAAAGUAAGUGGAAAGAACAACAAAACAAUUGACAGUGAGUUCUCUGAAAUUAUAGGGACAAACUUGCUUCCAAGGCACAGAGGGGAGAGGCCACUUUGCCACCUUUUUUGUAGAGGUGGGGGACUAUGUGUGUGGCACAUGGCAUAUGUCAGAACUUUUUGGUUUGUUGGUUACUUUGGCUGAUCUGUUUUCUCUCUUUUCUUCUUUGUUAGAAGGAACGGCUCUAUGGGGAUAGGGAAAGGGAGAGCUAUGUUGGGAAAUAUAGGUGAGGUAGAAGCAAAUGAUACCAAAAAGAACUUUUUCAAGGGAGACUUGUCAUAGAAAGGGAGAACACGUGAUAGUGAUGCGCUCCAGUCACAGAGAUCUGAGGUGUGGUGACAUAGGAGAAGGCAACCAACUCUAAGCCCUACCUACUAGAUGCAUCAUGACUGGGACCGGCAGAGUAGGAGUUUCCAGGGAGAGGCUGAUGCCACCUAGACAAGAGGGAAACCCUGACCCUAACCCUGAUUGAGACACACCAUGGACACCAAGCUUGCACCCCACAUUCAAAGGGACCCAACAAAAAUGGGAGCUGCUCAGGAGGGAAAUUCUGAGGAAACAAUACAAAAAAGAGGAAAAAUGGGAUUUGUCUCAAGGGGCCAAAGUGUAUGCACAAGGAACCCACCAAACAAGAUUUUUUUUUUUAAUCAAGAAAAGUUGGAAACAAGGCCAAGGUCAGGAAUGGUAAAGCACAGAGUGAUUUGAGUUUAGCAAGAGAGCCAAGAAUGGGGGCAGCUAGGUGACACGGUGGAUAGAGCACCAGCCCUGGAGUCAGGAGUACCUGAGUUCAAAUCUGGCCUCAGACCAAACACUUGACAUUUAUUAGCUGUGUGACCUUGGGCAAGUUGCUUAACCUCAACUGCCUAAAAAUUUUUUUAAAGAAAGAGAGCUAAGGACAAAAAAAGUCUGGCUUUGGAUUUUUUUAAAAGUUGUAUCAUGAGAGGUGCAGCCAAGAUGGCAGAGUAAAAGCAGUGACUUGCUUGAGCUCUCCCCCAAACCCCUCCAAAUACCUGUAACAAUGGCUCUAAACAAAUUCUAGAGCAGCAGAGCCCACAAAAAGACAGAGUGAAACAAAUUUCCAGCCCAAGACAACCUGGAUGGUUGAUCAGAAAGGUCUAUUGCACCAGUCUGGGAGAGGAAUGCAAUUCAGUGUGGGCCACAAAGGCAAAGAACAGACCUCAGCAAACCUGGAGCAGUCCUCAGGGAAUUGAAUCAAGGGGAGCUGUGGCAGUUUCCAGACUUCUCAACCCACAAACACCAGAGACAUCUUAGAAAGGUCAGUAGGAAAGGUCUGUCAGACAGUGGUGAGAGAGAAACUUGGUCCCAGCCCCAGGUGGUAGCUGCUUCUAGAGCUCUUGACCCACAGGUGGUGGGGGGAUCAAGCAGCUGAUCAGAGGGGGAUUUCAAGGAUCUUUUUACUGGUGCUGAGGCAGAAUUCUCUUGCUUUGCCUGUGCUUGGAUCUGGGUCACAGCUCUGGGUGGCGAUCUUGGGGUGAAGAGGAGUGCUGGCAUGGUGAAGCUUGUAGUGGCCAUGGAGAGGAAACCCUCCUCACAGUUUCAAGGCAGAAAAGACUGCUUGUGGUCACUCAUAGACCAGAACACAGGCCAAGAGUGGAGUAAACACCUCACCCUUGAUUGUACCACUUUGAAAGAAUUGAAAAUUUACAGGUCCCUAGAUGUAUUUCUGAAAACAGCUGCACAAAACCCCCAAAGCUUGGGAUAGUACAUUCUCCACACUGGAAGCAGAUCCCUACCUUAACAAAGAGUUUAAAACUCAAGCAAUUGACUGGGAACAUGAGUAAACAGUGUAAAAAAAGAAGUCACACCUUAGAAUCUUACUUUGAUGACAAAGAAGAUCAAAACAUACCACCAGAAGAAGACAACAAAGUCAAAGCUCCUACAUCCAAAGCCUCCAAGAAAAAUAUGAACCAGUCCCAGGCCAUGGAAGAGCUCAAAAAAGAUUUUGAGAAGCAAGUAAGAGAAGUAGAGGAAAAACUGGGAAGAGAAAUGAGAGUGAUGCAAGAAAAUCAUGAAAAACAAGUCAACAGUUUGCUAAAGGAGAUCCAAAAAAAUUACUGAAGAAAAUAACACCUUAAAAAAUAGCCUAACCCAAAUGGCAAAAGAGAUCCAAAAAGCCAAAAAGAAGAAGAAAAAGCAGAAUUGGCCAAAUGAAAAGAAACUCCAAAAGUUCACUGAAGAAAAUAUUUCCUUAAAAAUUUGAAUGUAGUGGGACAGCUAGGUGGAGCAGUGGAUAGAGCACCAGCCCUGGAGUGAGGAGGACCUGAGUUCAAAUAUGGCCUCAGACACUUGACACUUAGGAGUUGUGUGACCCUGGGCAAAUCACUUAACCCCAUUGACUAGCCAAAAAAAAAAAUUAGAUUGGAGCAAAUGGAAGCUAAUGACUUUAUGAGAAAUCAAGAAAUUGUAAAACAAAACCAAAAGACUGAAAAAAUAGAAGACAAUAUGACAUAUCUUGUUGGAAAAACAACUGAUCUGGAAAACAGAUCCAGGAAAAAUCAUUUAAAAAUGAUUAGACUACCUGAAAGCCAUGAUCAAAAAAAGAACCUAGACAUCAUCUUUCAAGAAAUUCUCAAGGAAAACUGCCCUGAUAUUCUAGAACCAGAGGGUAAAAUAGAAAUUGAAAAAAUCCACUGAUCAGCUCCUGAAAGACAUUUCCAAAGGAAAACUCCUAGGAAUAUUAUAGCCAAAUUCCAAAGUUCCCAGGUCAAGGAGAAAAUAUUGCAAACAGCCAGAAAGAAACAAUUCAAGUAUUGUGGAAACACAAUCAGGAUAACACAAGGUUUAGCAGCUUCUACAUUAAGGGAUCAGAGGGCUUGGAAUAUGAUAUUCUGGAGGGCAAAGGAGAUAUGAUUACAACCAAGAAUCACCUACCCAGCAAAACAGAAUAUAAUCCUUCAGAGGGAAAAAUGGACACUCAGUGAAACAGAGGACUUUCAAGCAUUGUUGAUGAAAUGACCAGAGCUGAAUAGAAUAUUUGACUUUCAAAUACAAGACUCAAGAGAAGCAUGAAAAGGUAAACAGGAAAGAGAAAUCAUAAGGGACUUAUUAAAGUUGAACUGUUUACAUUCCUACAUGGAAAGAUGAUAUUUGUAACUCAUGAGACCUAUUAGGGUAAGAAAAAAAAUUAUAUGUAUAGGUAGAUAGAUAGAUAGAUAGAUAGAUAGAUGGCAGAGGGUGAGUUGAAGAUGAAGGGGUGAUAUCUGGAGAAUAAAAUUAAGGGGUGAGAGAGGAUUAUACUGGGA